UAUGUCUCUACUAGGGAUUAGGCACAUUAAGGAUAAAAGCAUCCUUAGAGUCCAUCAAAAAACUUUUUAGACAUAACCCAGGCUAUACUGUGUUAAUAGGUUCAUGGAUUGUACUGAGGGUUUGAAAAGGGGGCUAUUGAGCUCAGAGUUUAUGGGCUUCAUAUAACUCAAAGUUACCUGCUGGGGGGAUAGUGUGUGUAGGUAGAAUAAAGAGCAUAGCUCUUUUGUUUACCUUGUGUUAAUGUGCACAAGUGUGUCUUGAGCUCAUGGUUAAGCUUUGAGCUCGUGUAGGUUAGUUGAGAGAACAUGGACAGUGAAAAGAAUAAUAAAAAAAAUGAAAAUGAUCAGGGUAAGAAGAGGUGUUAGACCCACCCUAGGCACAGGUCCGCGCGUUUAAGGGGAAUGAAAGAGAGAUAAAAUGUGAGAGACGAGUGACGGACCCGCCCUAGGCAUGGGUCUGUGUGUUUUAGCGAGAUGAAAGAGAGAGAUGAGAAAUUAUGAGCAGAGGAGAAGAGAUGGGCUCGUGCCUAGGCGCGGGUUUGGAUUCUUUGACGGGAACGAGGGAUAAUGUGAGAGAGAAAAUAGACGGGCCUGCACCUAGGCGCGAGUCUGGAGUGCUCGACGAAGAGGAUAGAAUGUGAGAGAGAGAAAAUAGACAGGCUCGUCCCUAGACACGGGCCUGGAAUGCUUGACAACGAGGAGAGAAAGAGGUUUACCCGAACCUUUUAAAAGGUAAAUUGGGGCUUCACUUUUUACCCUUCUUUUCUUACCACCUUUUUUACUCUUCGAAGAGAAAGUGAGACAGAGACCCUCAAAAAGUGACUUUCAAAAGGACAUUCUUGGGGCCAUGGCUAGCUCUUCUGACCCCUAAGGUGCUGCUUUUACAAGAUCCACGACCCUUGGCGUUCUCGAAAUCACUCGAAAGCUGGAGUGGCCCUUGAGUAUCACCUACAUAGGUGAAGAUGCUCGGUUUUACCCUUAUAAAGAUGCAAAUGGUCAGCCUGUAAUUCAGGGAGAUAGUAUUCCCAUGUACCAUGCUUUUCACUGGAAUUUUGAUUUAAAUGAGGAUCUCCCUACUCUAGGAAAGAGGAUGCUGAAGAAGAAGGGUCUUCAUUGGGCAUCUGGUGGACUCCGCUUUGAGGGGGAGCACCAGUACGUGCCAGGGUAUAACACAUGGACAUUUGACGACCUCCAAUCUCAUACCAAGGACUUAGAGGCAUGUGCCUUAGCUACAACAUGAUAGUGCUUAGUAGGUUAUUAAGAUAGGUGCUCAAGCACCAUCAGUGCUCUACUAGAAACCUGGUGCCACAAGACUAACAGCUGGCAUCGCGAUCAUGGCAAAGGAGGAAUCACCCUCCUCGAUAUGUACUUCAAUGGUGGACUGCCCAUGCUAGGGGCCAUGUAUGAAGAAUUCAUACCCAGCAAUGAAGUAAUCUUUGACAAUCAGCCCAUCAGUGGUGAACCCCCUCCUCCAGAUAUGCAUGAAUUGUUUGAAAUUUAUCAACUUCUACAUUCAGAGACUAAGACCAAAUCCAAGAUAGUGCAUUUUAAUGCAUGGAGGGACUUCUUUCAUGGGAAUCGUCAAGACAAAGGAGAACCCAACUCUAGUGCUUUUUGGGAGGAUGAUGAGCCAAUGGUCGAAGAGAAAGAAGAUGAGACCAGGAACCCUGUAAUCCCCUCUAGAAGGCUUGAGAAGGAUCAUGUAUACUUAGCUGCAUACUUGACUCUUGUCUUGUGCAAAUUCACACUCCCAGAGUCAAGGGGUAAUGAUAUUCUUCCAUGCUGCGUCUUUGUA